rnacentral:rRNA from 1 species
AGGACGAACGCUGGCGGCGUGCUUAACACAUGCAAGUCAAGGGGGCCCAGCAAUGGGCAACCGGCGAACGGGUGCGUAACACGUGAGCAACCUACCGAAAUGUGGGGGAUAGCCGGCCUAACGGCCGAGUAAUACCGCAUACGCUCUCGAUGAGGCAUUUCAUUGAGAGGAAACCUACGGGACAUUUCGAGGGGCUCGCGGCCUAUCAGCUAGUUGGCGAGGUAACGGCUCACCAAGGCAACGACGGGUAGCUGGUCUGAGAGGAUGGCCAGCCACAUUGGGACUGAGAUACGGCCCAGACUCCGUACGGGAGGCAGCAGGUGGGGAAUCGUUGCGCAAGUCGGACCUAACGGCUGACCGACGACGCGACCGCCGCCGGUAGUAGGAUGGAAGCCUCGUCGGAGUAGUAAACUUACGUGUUCGACCCGGACGAAGUACG